rnacentral:rRNA from 1 species
GACGAACGCUGGCGGCGUGCUUAACACAUGCAAGUCGAACGGAAAGGCCCUGCUUUUGUGGGGUGCUCGAGUGGCGAACGGGUGAGUAACACGUGAGUAACCUGCCCUUGACUUUGGGAUAACUUCAGGAAACUGGGGCUAAUACCGGAUAGGAGCUCCUGCUGCAUGGUGGGGGUUGGAAAGUUUCGGCGGUUGGGGAUGGACUCGCGGCUUAUCAGCCUGUUGGUGGGGUUGUGGCUUACCAAGGCUUUGACGGGUAGCCGGCCUGAGAGGGUGACCGGCCACAUUGGGACUGAGAUACGGCCCAGACGCCUACGGGAGGCAGCAGUGGGGAAUAUUGCACAAUGGGCGGAAGCCUGAUGCAGCAACGCCGCGUGCGGGAUGACGGCCUUCGGGUUGUAAACCGCUUUCGCCUGUGACGAAGCGUGAGUGACGGUAAUGGGUAAAGAAGCACCGGCUAACUACGUG